AGCUUCUAAAAUCAUAUCCCUGCUUCUAGUUUUAUGUGGCUUCAUCUAUUCUGAUGUCAGAGUGAUCUUUCCAACAUUUCUGGAGACCGGGAAGUCCAAGAUCAAGGUGCUGGCUGAUUCGGUUUCUGGUGAAGACUCUUUUCUUGGUUUGCAGAUGGCUACCUUCUAGCUGUGCCUUUACAUUGCAGAGAGCUCUGGUAAAGCCUCCUCUUCUUAUAAAGGCACUAAUCUCAUGACUGAGGGUCCCUGAAGACCUCAUAUAAACCUAAUUAUCUCCCAAAGGCCUCAUCCCCAAAUACCAUCACACUGAAGGUUAAGGGCUACAAUAUAAGAAUUUUGGAGAGACACAAAUCAGUCCAUAGUGCAUGUUAUCUGUUACGCAGGAAUUUGGUUAAAUUAUGUCUCCAGUAUUUAUAAGACAUUAUUGCAUAACCAUGAUCACGCAGAAAGUUAAAAAUGUAUUACUUUUCCCCCUUCAUGCUAACAUUAUAAUACACUGGUUGUCUCGUUUUUAUUUGGUGUCCAAGUUGGUGCUUUUCUGCCUACCCCAUUAAUAUGGAAAUGGCAAAGACAGGAUGGUGUAGUGGUCAAGGUCUUGAAUUCUUAAGCCUGCAUUUGAAUCUCAACUCUACCUAGACAGCUGUGUAAAACUAUGCAAAUUACUUAGCUCAUGCCUCUGACUCCUCAUUUCUGAAAUAGGGAUUAUGUAAUACCUUCCUCAGAGUUGUUCUGAGAAUUAAAGGAGGUAAUGUGUAUAAUACUCUUAGCUGAGCACAUGGAAAGCACCCAUUAUAUGUUAUAUGUUAGUCAAAAAAGGACAAAACGUGAAGGGGCUAUUGCAGCUAGCUGAGAGGAUGGCUCAGCACCAACAACUGGCAAUCAAGGCAGUGCAGCCAGUAGUGAAGUAGGUUCCAUCUUACUUUAAAAUUGGUACACUUGCUAGAAAAAUGUCUUUUCUCUCAUUUUAAAAAGCUGUUUCUUCGCUUAUCAAGGCCCCCAGAGGAAAAUUAGAGAGAAGAUGGCCAAUAUUUCAGAAAAGCAAAUAGGAGGAGGAAAAAACAAGCUAAUGAAAAGAGUACGUGCAAUCUACUAGAAACUUCUGCUUUUGAAAUGAGUGCUGCUUCUUCUGCCCUAUUUUUCAGAGUACUUCUUAUUAAGUCUGUCAGGCACAUGUGGAAUUUUAGAACCUCUCUUUUAGCAAUGCCUUUUUCAAAAACUAGAAAAAAGUAAGUGCUGUUUUGUGAAGUAUGUACCAAUACGGGAGGAAGACUGAACACUUUUUUCAAUGAACCUUAUUUUUUAUAAAUGAAUUGACUGAAGUUACUGUAAACAUGCUUUACAAAUACUGUGAUACAUGGCUCUGAUUGUUUUCUUUGAAGAUGUUUGAAUUGGUAAAUGUAUUUGCUCACUCCAUUUAACUUUGUAAGUACUCUAUAAAUUUUGCAGUAGUCCUUAAGCCAAAAGCAAUAAAAUCUGACCUACUAAGUCUAAUAUCA